rnacentral:rRNA from 1 species
AUUGAACGCUGGCGGCAGGCCUAACACAUGCAAGUCGAACGAGUGGCGGACGGGUGAGUAAUGUCUGGGAAACUGCCCGAUGGAGGGGGAUAACUACUGGAAACGGUAGCUAAUACCGCAUACCAUCGGAUGUGCCCAGAUGGGAUUAGCUAGUAGGUGGGGUAACGGCUCACCUAGGCGACGAUCCCUAGCUGGACUGAGAGGAUGACCGGCCACACUGGAACUGAGACACGGUCCAGACUCCUACGGGAGGCAGCAGUGGGGAAUAUUGCGCAAUGGGCGCAAGCCUGAUGCAGCCAUGCCGCGUGUAUGAAGAAGGCCUUCGGGUUGUAAAGUACUUUCGGCGGGGAAGCGUUACCCACAGAGAAAGCACCGGCUAACUCCGUGCCAGCAGCCGCGGUAAUAC